UACGUGGGGUGCGAGCGUUGUCCGGAAUUAUUGGGCGUAAAGAGCUCGUAGGCGGUGUGUCGCGUCGGCCGUGAAAACCUGCAGCUUAACUGUGGGCUUGCGGUCGAUACGGGCAUCACUGGAGUUCGGCAGGGGAGACUGGAAUUCCUGGUGUAGAGGUGAAAUUCGUAGAUAUCAGGAGGAACACCGGUGGCGAAGGCGGCCACCUGGACGGUAACUGACGCUGAGGCGCGAAAGCGUGGGGAGCAAACAGG
rnacentral:rRNA from 1 species